AAGUAAUCCAAACCAGAAUAAAACUUGUUAGUCACUUAUAGGUAAUAAAAAUAUAGAUGUUAUAACUUUAUCAAGAUCAAUGUCAAUAAGACAACAGACAACAAUAUAAUCGCAUAUUCCUAAUCCGUAAUGACCACAACAUCUAUCAAUGAAUUAGUGCAUUCAGUCUUGAGCAAAGGGCUUAAAAAUCUAGCACUCAAUAUUUUGCAAGAAAUCAAAAUGUCAUGAGCCAUUAUCUCUACCACAGCUAGUAUGCUGUCAUUCAUCUGAUGUAAUAGACAACUUAACACAAAGACUUUGUUGCUUGUUUUUCACCUUUUUCCUUUAAAAGAAUACUCCCACUGUUCCAUUUUAUAUGACGUUCU